GGGAGUGGAAGUUCUGUGAAGAAUGGAGCGGACCAGUACUAAUCAGUCGAGGACUUGACCAA
rnacentral:rRNA from 1 species